UGGAAAAACAAAGUGCAUGUACGUAUGUACUAAUACGUGAAAAUGUCACAUACAGAUAACUUUAGAAAAAGAAAACGAUUACGACAGCAACUGACGUCAUUGUUUCGAACAAUACAAGCGUCAUUCUUAAUAAUUCAGUAUGAUAAUUAGAAGAUGGAUUUACCGUUCGCAAAGUCGAUCGUCAGUCACAUGACGCGGGUUGCGACGGUACAAUGACACCUUGACCGUCAUUCCGCGCGGUUCGUCCGCUUUCACAAUCGCCUAACACCGAUGCAGAAGCUCGAACAGUAUUUCCGAGCUUCCCCCAUCCAAAGAUAGAUCAUUCCAAUGGACACUGACCUUGCCGUUACGUAAUCGAGCGAAUCAACGCGUGGAUGAGAAAUAUUAUUAGAGGGCCGAGCAUUCCAUCGACUCCGUUGUUUUAGCUCCGUCGUGUGCCAUGAUCUCAGGAGAUGCAAGAUUUUAUCGAAAUUUUUGAACGCCCUGUACAGUUCGUGAAUUUCCAACGAUGACGACAGAGAUCGCGUGGACGGCUUACGUAAAAAUACUCUUGUAUUAAUAUUAAUCUGCGUGCUUCGUUCCCUGACGUUUUCUCGUACAGCAGCCAUCUUUAUAAACAGCCGGUCAGCUGACGGGCAUGUACGAGGAAGAUCGUACCUAUCACACGAAUCAUGAUGCGAGAUGGAUUGCACAAUAAAAUUCGAGUUUUCAUCGUUAGUCACGUUGGGUGUGAUUCUUGUUAUCCGAGAUUUGAACAACUGUGUCCAGAAGAAAUGCUCGCGGGGCUCUCGAUAAGAAAACACGUACGAUAUUGAAAUAAAAGAUAAGUAACGUAUAAUGCCAUGCAUGUAUAUGUAAACAGAGAAUUUGUACAUCUCUCGGACGUCGAGAUUACACAUAAAUAAGAAUAAGUUAUUAAUAGCCUGCGAAUAAUAAUGCAAAUUCAUUUUUCCGGAUAUAGAGUACUGAAACUCAAAAACAUCAUAAGCAUCCGCAGUUAUCAGCAUGGAGGCUUUUCAAUCUAAUCUUGCAUUAAAUUUUAUUUAAUAGUUAAAUGAAUAUUCGAAUAGUUGAAUGAAUAUUCAAUGCUAAUUAAAAUUCAAGAAUAGAAUAUUGAUCGUGGCAUGUUAAACGAUCUAAUUUUAUUCUGAGGUAUCAGUGAACGAGUAUCGUGUUAUGUAGUUGGGCGGUUCGCAUAACCAAGAGUCAGAAGUCACGCGAUGAAUCGCCCACUAAUAACAAUCGGAGCAUUCAUAUACAAAGUAAAAAUAAAGAUAUGGAUACAUAUAUCCGUUCGAAAAAAUGAUCGCAAAUUUAUUCAAACGCAUCUGAAUAAUUUUCGGUCACGUGUAUACAAAAUAAUCGAAGCAAGGUCGUGAUUGAACUUAUUUUCAUCGAAAAGUUCUCACCAAUUUAUUCACGAUACUGUCACGCGGUACAUAUAACGAAAUACAUGUAAAACAAAAAUUGCAAUUUUCACCUAUGUAUUUGAAAUGUUUUUCAAACACGACUUUCAUUUCUAAGACUUGACUUAGAUUUUUAAGAAGAACAAUUUACAGACUAAUUUCCUAACACGCGCCAUUUUUCGUUUCAUAUCACUUAUCAGCUUUAUUGUUCCGCGGUCCGCUGUCGCCAAUGAGGACGCAAAAAUGCACGCUAAUCGGCGCGUGCUGAUAAGCCCACAAUAGGUAUGCAAGAGUAAUCGCGCAUCUGCGCCUGGCAAUAUUACGAAUCGACUGUGACGAUUAAAACUCGCCACGAGUUCGUUAAAUUGACGCGUCGUUAUUCCAUUUUCAAGAUAAUUGAAGUGGCAGGGUAACCAAGGUGGAAUCUUGAAACGUCUCUGUUCUUGUUGAGAUGGAGCUCUGUCCCUUCGAAUUAGUAUCCGUCUUGCUCUCAUGCUCGACAAGAAUGAAGCGAGAAACGACAUGAUCGAAUCGUGUCCUCGUUACAAUGAGUGCUUCGCGCUCGUCACACACGCUGAAUGCGUCGCGAACAACGACCAGAGUCUCUCUGUCUUUAGAAGUAAACAAUAUACCCUGUCAGAGGCAUGGAACAAUCUUGUUUAAAAGACACUUGUUUACCAUGCUAUUUAUAUUUUGUUACUCGUUUUAUUUUUAAACAAUAGAAAGACCGUCUUGAAUUCCACCCUCAAAAAUUGCACUGAUAGAAAGGGUCCCUGAUUAGGUUCAUGGUCCCUGUAAGUCUUGAUCCGCCAUUGAAUGCGAUGUUUGCGAGUGUAUUAACGGACAAGUGUUCAUUCAAACACAGUUGACGAUGCUUCGGUAAUUAUUAUGUGACCAUGAAGCGCUAUUCGAGGAAUCUAAAAUUAAAUAGUCGUCCAAAGACAUUAAGUCAGGCGCAUGCUAAUGAUAGAGCAUACAUUUUAUGCGCGUUGACGACUACGUACAAUGUUGAUUAGCCGUGGAAAACCUAUCGGUUUCGUGCAGGGCGCAGUGCUCUAUUUGUAACAAUCUAUGCAAAUAUUUAUUCAAAAUAAGAUAGAACGGUGUUUUGACGUUUUUAAUAACAAUACUAUAAUACAUAUUUUAUGACAAGGUUCAAGGUGAUUGUCGAUACCAACCUAUCGACACACUACUGUUAUUACUAUACAGAAGCGCAAAAUGUAACUGUUGGAGUACUUAACUAUUAUCAUUGGGUCAUAUUUUAUUCAACGAAAUUGUUUCUUUGUUCAAAAGUGUACAUUACAAUAUGAGGUGGCGUUGUUUCGAUAAAAAUUGAUCGUUUCUUUUCAAAGAAAUAUUCUUCCUUCGGGUCAAGUGUGACCCAACGAUAGUAGUUGAACGAGAAAUUUACAAAAUUUAUGUGGAGCGUAUUUCAUUAAAUAAUACAGUAACAUUGCACAAAUUGAAUAGAUAUUCUCAUACUUCGUAAGUGUGUAAACGUCGUAAUCUGAUUAAUAGCGAUUGUCAUGUCGGGGAUUCCCUAAUAAAACUUCCUGUUUCAUAUUUAUGUCGCUAGAGGGUAGCCCGUGGAGCAACGAUACUUGAAAUACGCCGGUACUAACAUUCAUCUCGAAACUUGUCAUAAAAACACUCGAAUUACAAUUUUCUUAUCGAACACUUCAAAGUUUAUUUCACCCCACCGUACGUUUCACGCGAGAUAAUGAACUUCCCACUCGAGAUCAGAAAAUUUUAAUAUAGUUCUAUUUGUUCUCUUUAUUAUCAGCCGUGAAAAAGGUGGGCUGCGUUUGCAAGUGUCUCGAAGUUGAUAUAUUCGAAAUAGAAAGAAAUAGUAACCACGAAGGUGUGGUCACGCUAACGAAGCUGAACUUGUCGAGUGUACCGUUGAUGAUAAUAUGGGGAUCAGAUCGGUUCUGGGAAGACGCGGCGGAAGAGAAACGGAAACGUUGCGUUUUCCGCUCGGUUCCUGCGCGUUCUAUGCUGCGAACGUCCCGGCAUUAAACAGGAGUCGUGCGACCUUAAUCGAAAAAACGACCGGCGCGAGCGUUCUAGAAAGGAAACGCGUGUGCAGAAACGAGCUGGAGGAACGACACACGCCUACAAUAGUAUCCGUCGUCCUCGAGGACGGGACGAUACGACGGAAUGUCCUUAGUUGGCGCUGGGGAACUUCCUCCUGCGAUCCCGAUAGCAUAUUCGAUGCCGUAUCGAACCAUUAAACGAUCGCUAUAGUGCCGAGAUUGGCCUUGGAUGAAACUGAAAUUACGUGACCAGAAUGUCUGUCGUUUUUCCCCCCACAAUCUUUUUAAUUUUAGCUAUAUUUCAAUGUUUAAACGUUAAAUGUAAAAGGUUACUUUACUCUCAACCAAGAUUUUAUUUUUACCGAAGCUCAUGAGAAGCCAUUGCUUAGAAUGUAUACACUAGAACUCCAUUUAUAAGAACUAAAUUUUCGUCACUGCCUGAUUUAGUGAACUUUUGAGCGGAUUCCUAUUAUCCGAACCACUGCCACUCCUAUUUUAUGAACUGUCCCCCCAAUUAGGUUUGUAUAAAUGGAUUUCCACUGUAUACGUAACCCAUCCGCUGUAUUAUGAAAAUACAUCGUAGUUUCUCUGAACGAGCGAGCAUCGCAAAGGAUCGUAGUGAUAUAGAUAGAGCAGAAGAGACGCUUGCCUGUAAAUGGAAACGUCUGAUCGUUAGAAAAAGAACAAAACCACGGCACCCUAUCCAUCUCUGUGCUUUUAUUAACGCGAAUGUUAAAUAUUUGUGUAAUUAUUAAAAUGAAAUUAUUGUCAACAUAAAAACGAUUUAAAAAUGCGCCGGUGGAGAGAAUAGAUAGGGUACCACAGUUUUCUGUCUCUUUUUAGCUAUGAUGUGACCGGAGGUAUGGUUCCGCUACUCUGUCUAUAAUGCCUGUAUGGUGUAAACGA